UUUAAGACGUUAUUUAAAGUAAAACCUGCUCAAUGAUUUCCAAAUUAAAUAGCCGCAGUCAUCCUGUGCUAAGGUAGCAUAAUCACUUGCUUUCUAAUUAAAAGAUAGAAUGAAAGGUUAAACGAUAAAAUAUUAUUUAACUAAAAUUAAUAAAAUUACAAUUAAAGUCAAAAUCCUUUAAUAUAAAAGUAAGACGACAAGACCCUAAAGAACUUAACAUUUAGUUGGGGCAACAUAUUAAAAAUUCUUUAACAUUUAUUUUCAUAAAAAUUACAUAAAAAUUUAAUCUAGUUACCAUAGGGAUAACAGCGCUAUUUCUUUUCAAAGCCCUUAUUUAAAAAGAAGAUUACGACCUCGAUGUUGAAUUAUUAAUCCUAAUAGGUGCAAAAACUUAUAAAGGAAGUCUGUUCGACUUUUAAAAUUAU
rnacentral:rRNA from 1 species